CUUAAUGUUGAGUUUUGUUUGCACGAGCACUGUAGCUUUAUUACACAGAAUUUCUAUCGACUAGUGCAUCAACCCAUGUUCUGGCAUGGGCUUGAAUUUUAUGAGAUAUAAGUAUUAAGUAUUGUUCUGCUCAUUUCAAAUUAUAAACCAUUUUGGCUAUUAAAGAUAUAUUAUUUUUUAUUCUACCUGAUCAGUAUAUCUAAGUGUAUAAAAGGAACUAUAUACUUUCGAAACAUGUUAUAACUUGAAAUGCGCGGAGUAGAUCUGAAUAAUAAUGAAAUACUCAUAAAUUAUAUGUUUUUCUCUUUGUCUAAUCUUUAACAUAAUAGACAUGAUAGAUACUCUAUAGUCUAUAUCUAGUUAUCAUAAACUUAUUAGUUACUAUUUUUUCAACAAACUAAUCUAUGUAUUUUUAUCUAUAUUACAUUAAAUAUGCAAUUACUUUGAAACCUUACCAUUAAUCACGGUGGCUCUUGUUUUGUUAUGUAUCAAAUUUUUUAUUUUCAAAUUUUAUUCUUAUUGACUGCGACAGAUUUAUUUUUUCUCUCCUUAAGUUAAGUUGAACCCCUUAUAUAUGCUUAUUGUAUCUUUCAUUAACUAUUCUUUUUGUAUUUUUGAAAUAAGAAUUUUAGGACAUAGUUUACAUUCUUAGGAACACAAUAGCAUAAGACAUCAUUUGAAACAUGCACCAUAUUGCUUAAGAUAAGCCACAGAGCUUGAAGUGAGAUCACAAACAGGAUAUAGUGCUAACCUCAAGAGAAUUUUAAUACCUAAAUCUUAUAAUGAUUGACUGAUUGACUUUUUACUCUAAACUAUUCUUAAAAGGUUAGGAAAAUAUAGCCACUAGUGGUCUACCACACUUCUCGAGAUGAUUGAGUUUUCCUAUCAAGGAAUUAUGUUUACAAAUAUGGUUAUAGUAGACAUGUCAAACAUUUUAGUUAAAGUACGUAAAUAUAUCUAAAGUAACAAUCUAUAUCAAUUAUAUGUUAUGGUUACUAAUAUGGCUUGAAAUUUUUUUAUAUUGAUAAGGAAAUAACUUUUUUUGUGAUUAAACAUAACAUAUUUAUUCUAUUGCUCAUGCAUGAUGGCAUUACGUGUAUAUUUACUUUAAUCAAAUCUUACUAUACGUAUUUUAUGAGAAUUUCUAGGAUCUAUCUUUUGUUUUCCUGUCAAGUCUUGUGACGAUUAACAUGCAAGCUAUAGAAGAAACGUCUUGUUAGAAUUUAUAGUAUUUAUCUUUUUUUUUUCUAGUGUGAUUUGUAUUUAGUUGAAAACUAAACUUAAGAUAUAUGAACUCUUGAUACAACUCUUUUUUGACAUUGCAAAUCUACAUUUAUCUUUUAACUUUUAAUUAAAUUGUUGCAAUUUCUUCAAAUGUUAAUUAGAAAUUCUGGUAUUCUUUAUAUUUUAUUCAAAAAACAUUUUUUAUUAUAACGAGUAUAGGUUUCCACAUAUGCUAAAAUUUGGCUUGCAUUGUGACACUAAACAUGUUCAAUUUAUUAUGUCAUACGAUUAUAUGUGUUGUAUUAUUUAUAUAUCAUAGAGUGAAUAUUGAUAUGACAUAAUGUUUCAGUAAAAACAUAUAUACUUGUUUAAAAUGAUAAUUAUUGAAUUUAUUAUCACGAAGUAUAGAUAUAAAGUGUUAUUGCAACAUCGUUUGCUAUGUGAACAUUUUCCAUGUUUCAUAACUUUUAAAAUAAAUGUUAUCCAAAUUUAUACAUGUUUAUUUGAUAUACAUGGUGCAACAUUGCAUUUAGUUAUUUUAUUUCACGAUUAUUGAAUUAUGAAACUUAGAAAUAUAUACAUGUACCAUACUUUUUGUUAAUAUUGAUAUUUUUAAUAUUAUAUAUUACUAUUUACACGUCAAUUUUAGAUAUGUUUUGUUUAUCUUCAAUUAUGGCUAAGGUACAUACAAAUAUAAAGUUAAUGCCUUGCAUUAUAUUUCACAAAGACAUAAAUGGAUAGGUUCAACACGAACAUAUAAUAUUAAUUUGCAUUAUUUUUCAUAAUGAUAAAGGUGGAGAAUUUAUAAUUAGGAGGCAUUUUAAAUUAUGUUCCAUAAGCGUAUAUUGGGUAGUUUAGGUACAAAGUUAGAAUAUUAUUUUGUAUUAUCUUUCACAAUGACAAAAGCAAGGUAAUUUAGACACAAUUUUAGGGGUUUAUUUAAAUUAUGUUUCAUAAUCGCCAAGGUGGGUAAUUUGGAUGAAAAAUCAGGGAGUGAUUUUGAAUUAUUUUUUAUGAUGACAUACAUGGGUAAUUUAUAUACAAAUAUAGAGGGUUAUUUUGAAUUAUCUUUUGUAAUGUCACAAUUGGGUAAAUUAAAUGCAAAAUUAGGGGUUACUUUAUUGUAUUUUCAUAAUGGCAGUAGUGGGUAAUGUUUUAUAAACUAUAAUAGAUGCAAUGGCUAUUAUCACUGACGAUAUUAGAGUUUAUCAAAUGAAAGGCUAGUUGUUUUUGAUUAUUGUCAUAAUUUGGAGGAUUUUGUUGUGUCUCUGUUGGGGUCUCUAAUUAGAAUUUAUAGGAUUUAUCUUUUUUUCUAGUGUCUGGUGAGAAUUAACGUGGUAUCUCUGUUGGGGCUUGUAAUAAUAAGAUUGGUCACAGCAGGCAGUGAAUCAUUCAGGCGGGUUCAGAGUUUAUUAGCUGAGAAUAUGUCGUGCAGAAUAAUAGUGCUGAUUUUGCUUCAGAUUAGGAAUCUCCGUACUUCUAUAGGUCAUAGGAGCAACGAAGGGGAAAUUCGUCAUGAACAUAGCUAUACUUUCUUACUUUUGUAUCCCAAGAAACACUCGUGCUUUUUUCUUUCCUUUUACUUAGGCCUUAUUUAGUUCACUUCAAAAACCAUAAAAUUUUCAAGAUUUCCCAUCACAUCGAAUAUUGCGGGACGUGCAUAGAGCAUUAAAUAUAAAUGGAAACAAAAACUAAUUGUACAGUUUGCCUUUAAAUUGCGAGACGAAUCUUUUAAUCUUAGUUACUCCAUGAUUGGACAAUGUUUGUCAAAUAAAAACGAAAUUGCUACAGUAUCAAAAUCUAAAAACUUUUUGAAUCUAAACAAUGCCUUAGUUGCAUAUGCAUAAAGUAUAAUAUAAAAAAGGAUGAUAAAAAAUUGUGUGCUAGAGGUCGCAUACGUUUCUUCUUGAUGUGCUUUGCAUUUGUAGCAUAUCACAACACUGCACGGUAAAUUAUUUUUUGUCUAAUUGGCCUGAAAUUCUUGCAGGCUGUCAGAGAUGUGAAUGAUGAGCCGCAGGUUGAAAAUUUAAAGGAUAUUGGCUUGAUACUUGUAAAAAAAUGUGAUGGUUUACCUCUUGGGAUCAAAGUAAUGGGAGGUCUCCUGAGUCGGAAAAGGAUAACACGAACCGACUGGCAAAAGGUCUUAGAUGAUUCUCUAUGGUCAGUAUCACAAAUGCCUCAAGAGCUAAAUUAUGCAGUAUAUCUUAGCUAUGAAGAUCUAGACCCUUGUUUGAAGCCUUGCUUUUUGCACUACUCCCUCCUUCCAAGGGGCAGAUUGUUUUAUGAUUAUGACAUUGUUGCCAUGUGGAUUAGUGAAGGAUUUGUUCAUGGAAUUUCACGUGACUUAGAAGACAUAGGAAGGGAAUACUAUGACGAGUUAAUACAGCGGAACCUUAUUGAGCCAGAUAUGAAGUUUAUUGAUCAAAGUGUUUGCAACAUGCAUGAUGUUGUCCGGUCCUUUGCUCAGAACAUGUUCCGAGACGAAGCACUCAUAACUCACAAUAGUAGAAUUGGGAUUGACAAGCUUAAAGCACAAAAGUUUAUUCGGUUAUCUCUCGAAAGCAAACAAUCGGAACAACCUGAUUUGGAGUGGUGUUCUCUACAAACACAAAUGUCACUGAGAACAAUGAUUUUAUUUGGUAAUAUAAAGAUUCAACCAGGUGAUUCAUUUCAUUCUUUUUCAAGUCUCCGAACACUACACUUGGACAGUGUAAAUAUUGUUGCAACACCCAAAUCUUUGUAUCAGCUGAAACAUCUGAGGUAUCUGUCAAUAGGAAAUAGUAAUAUAUCUAAGUUAUCAGAAGACAUUGGCAAGUUGAAAUUCUUGCAGUACAUUAGCCUUUCCGAUUGUCAGAGUUUGACCAAGCUUCCCAGUAGCAUCGGGGUGCUACAAGACUUGAGAUUUCUCAGUCUUCUCAGAACAAAUAUAAGUGUUGUACCAAGGGAGUUUUGUGGUCUAACUUCUUUGAGGAAAUUAUACGGAUUUCCAGCCCACAUGGACUGUGAUCACUGUAGUUUGGAGGAACUAGGGUCUCUCUCCCAGCUAACUGAACUUGAUAUCAGUUUCUUGGAGAAUGUAGCUUCUUCCUCAUCUGCUAUAGAGGCCAAACUUGGUGGAAAGAAGCGCCUAAGGUAUCUCUCACUUCAUUGCACCAGUAGACUUGGAGAUGAUGGCCUAUUGGUAAAAAAGGAAGAAGGGAUCUCUGAGAAAGCGAAGAGACAAAUCGAGGAGGUCUUUGAUGAGCUCUGCCCUCCGCAUGGCUUAGAACACCUUUCAGUCAACGGGUAUUUUGGUGAGCGGCUCCCAGGUUGGAUGAUGCCAGCAGCAGCAUAUAUGCCGCUUAGGAGCUUGAGGACUCUAAUGAUGGAUGACUUGGCCUGCUGCACGGAGCUUCCUAGUGGCAUGAGUCAGCUACCCUGCUUGGAGCUUCUGCAGAUUGUUCGUGCCCCGGCCAUCAAGUGUGUUCGCCUUGAAUGCCUACAACCAAACAAUCAAGUAGGUGUUGCGUUUCCCAGUCUACAGAAGCUGCGUUUUGUGGGAAUGUUCGAAUGGGAGGAAUGGGUGUGGGAGGAACAAGUGAAAGGCAUGCCUAUCUUGGAGUUGCUUAAACUGAAAAUGUGCAAGUUGAGGCGUGUGCCACCAGGCCUGGCCUUCCACGCAAGGGCUUUGAAGAAUUUAUAUAUAUAUGAUGUGAAGCAUCUAAGCUCUUUGGAGAACUUUGCUUCUGUGGUCCACCUCGAUGUGUUUAGAAACACUCACCUGGAGAGGAUCAGUAAUCUACCAAAACUGCAGAAGCUUGUCAUUCUCAUGUGCCCAAAGCUGAAGGUAGUGGAUGGCAUGCCUGCACUCCAGAGACUCGAACUGGGGGAUUAUGACAUGGAAACAGUCCCUAGGUAUCUGCAGGAUGUAAACCCAAGACAUUUGCUGCUGGAUUGUUCCUUAUCGCUGCUCACGUGUAUAGCAGCAGGAAAAUCUGGUCCUGAAUGGGAUAAGUUUCGCCAUAUCCAGCAAGUCAAAGCCUAUGCAAAUGAAGAAGGCUGUCCAAGGAAGUGGUAUGUGCUCUACACAAGGAACCCUUACCGCUUCGAGACAAAUAUCAGCCGCUCUGCUAUUGCCCAAGGUAAAUUAACACAGCCGCCUUCCAAUGUAAUUUAUUUUUUGGCACUCUGUUUUCCUCGGUUUCCUUCAAUCAGUUCAAUUCAUCUUCUGCAGCUCACGGACGCCGCAUAUGGCUUGCUUACUCGGAAACAUGUCCCAUUGAAGAUGAGUGGCCCACAGGAGGACACACGUAUGUAGAAAAACGUAUGCCCCUCUGCGUACGCUUCAGGUAAAAAAGUUGGCUACACGUUGAUUGCUUCCCUCUGUUUCAGUAAUUGUGCAUGCUUACACCUCCUUGACACGUGAUUAAUUGAACAUGGCAAGUUCUUUACCAUUUCAUUUCGUCCGUGCAACGUAUUUUUGCAACAUGUGCAGGUGCAACGCCUAUCGCCACUUGAAUGGCUGGUUUGAUGAAGCGUGCCUGCACUGCCAUGAAGCCGACAACAUCGCUUCCCCAUCUGAUCAGUGGACCCAAGGAGAAGUGCUUUCAGCCCGUAUAAAGACUGUUUGGGCAUGAGUGGAGGAAACGUCUUUAGUUUAGUGUGAGUAUGUGCAUCUUGGCUAUUCCUUGAUCUGCUUCUGUACCUUGUGUAUAAGAUCCUCAGCUUGUGUAUGUUCAUUUUACUGCUUUUUAGGGGCUUGUGUUCGAUCUUAUACUGUAACAUCUAGAAUACGUUUAUUGCGUUAGAAGUGUAAAGUGGUAUAAUAAUAAUAAUUGUAAUUUUAUCCAUCACUCAAAUGAAUGAUCAGAGAUUUUAGAUGCGUAGAGCUCGUCGAAUGCUUUCAGUUGCACUACUCAUAUGUAUUGUUUGGAAUUUGGAUCAUGGAGAUAUAAAUUUCAGAAGUUUUAAGAAAGAAAAAAUAAACAGGACCUUUUACUGUAGUGUGACGCGUGGUGGCCUUUUAUAUCCGCUCCAAGGCCUUUAGGUUCCAUCCAUAGCUUUUCAUAUUCAGGAUAAAAAAAAGAGGAGAGGGGAGAAAAGAGAAAGGAGAAGGGAGAAGGGGAGGAUAGGGCCUAGGGUUUUGCCGCCGUCGUAGCCGCCGCCGCCGCUGUCGGUCAUCCGUGGUGGUCGUUCUUCCUUCCGUGGAAAAUACGGUUUGGUUCUACCUUGUAUCUUGGCUGUUCCAUUGAUCUACCAUGUCCCUUUUACUGUCCAUGAGGGCUUAGCCAUGUUUGGCGUAGAUCGGAAUAACAAGGCUUUUAUGGCGGCAAGGAUCGUGGCGAGUUGGAUCGGAGAUAAUGGAAAGGUGAAGAGGCGGAGAAGAAGGAGUAGACGCCAGGAGUUUCGGCGUCGUGCUCGCUGUGGUUCUCUAGGUGAGAAGCCAAAUAUUAAUCCCCUUCAUCUGAUCAAGUUUUGCGGAUUAAAUCGCUUAUUUGGGAUUGGGUUUAGUGGAGAAAUUCUUGAAGUCAUUUUCGUUCAUGUCCUGAAAUUCUCGUCAGACUGAGCAGUCACUGUUCAUCGUAAUGUUAGGGCAUUUUAGAGGCUUUAAUAAUUUUUGAGCCUGUGGACAAAGUUGUAGAGGACUUCAAUAUCUUUCUUUAGACGCCAAGAACUCUGUCAGAGCAGUUAUAAUUUGUGAGAUAUCGAGUUUUCAAUCUGACUGUUUUCCAGUGACGAAAAUCUGGACAGUUUUGGAUCUAAACAGUUUUUGACCCUGUUAAUGAAAUAAUUAGGUCUUUGAUUAUUAACAAAUGUUUUAGGAUUUUUGUUAAGCUUUCUAUAUUGGUAAAGUUUGUAACUUUUGAAUAAGUAUAUCACCAGUUAUGAAUUUUUGAAGUUUGAUGUUCUGUUUUGAAGGUCAGAAAUAUUCAGUUGUGUUCUAUGGUUAAUUAUACCAUCUUGCAGAUCUCUGAUGCAAAACCUUACAAUACAAAAGUUGUAUAUAACAGAGUUUUACAUGAUCUGAUAAAUUAUGGUAAUUUUUGGAUGAGUAUUCUGAAGUAUAUGAAAAAGAGAAGAGUCGGUGCUGCUGUCUUGAUCGGUAGCGCAAACGGUAGAGGCUUGAAUGUCGGGUUUGGGGCGCAUUAGUGCGUAUUUGUUCUUACUCUUGCUUGUAUGUUGGUGUAUGUACUGAGUAGUAUUUGUGAUCAGGUGGUAGCACUUCGGAACAUCGCUAGUGUUUUUGUUCUCCUUCGGUAAAGAGGCAAGUGAAUGUAGCGGUGGUUUGCUACCGUUUUGGCUUGUUAUUUUUAUCACCUACAGUUUAUUGUCUAUAAGAAUGUCAUCCCUCUCAUAUCUAAAAUUUAUGAUUUUGGUAUAUUUAGUCUUAGUUAAAUUGUGGUCUUAUUUAAGUAUUUAUGGUGAUGGUAUUAUUUUAUAUUGUUAUUUGUGGCUAGCCCACAAACCUGAAUUUGAAGUCGGAGUAUCAUUGGUGAUUUAUUAAUUUUAUUGCAACAUACCAAGUGCAUUGCAUCAUUCAUUGGCAUUGGAAGUUAUGUCUUGACCUAUGGUCAUGACUGUACCGGUAUGCAUCAUGGGAUGCAGCUCCACACCUUAUUGGGUGUGCAGGCAGGAGACAUAUGCAUUGCAUUCAUAUGCAUUCAUGAGAAGUAUGUUAUUGAAGAGAUUUUAUCCACGUUAUUAUGAAGCUCUGUAUUAUUGGCUAUGUUCCAAAUUGGAAGACUGUUACUUUUAGUAUGAUAUUAUGUCAAUUGAGAACAUCAUAUUAAAUUGAUGUUAAUUCAAAUUGUGGUUUCAAUAGCUUGUCAAAACAAGUUCGCUUGCUGAGAUGUUUCGUCUCACCCUUGCUUUACUCAAUCCAGGUACUUGAUGCUUACUUGGAAGGGAAGAGACUUAGCUGCACGUCACACACGUAUUCAUUUAGAGACCUUGUGUUUUAAUAAAUAAUAAUUUGGUUUGCUUAUUGGUUUUGAAGGCGGUUGUUAAAGUGUGGGUGUUAAACUUAAUUCUUGUUGAAGUAACUUAUUUGCGUUAGGAUGUUCAUUAAUCCUAGUUUGGUAUUUUAGUAAUUUUUUUUUAUAUUUUAUUCUUCCGCUUGCUAUAAAUACAAAGAAGAUACUGUCAAAUUGUUUAUGGUUGUGUGCAGCUGUUGUUUGUGUAGUCUAGUAGCAUCCCGGUGUAUUUGUGGUUUUCGGGGUGUUACAUAUACAGUAUGGACACAUGCCACAUUGCAGAAAUAAAUGUUCUAUCUGCUACUGAACAUGUACACAGAUUGCAAAAUUAUAUGUUCUGUAAUUUCACUAUUUUAUCAGGCUUACGAUAGUGAAUGGUAAACUGGUUGUGAUGUCAUCAAUGGACUCAUGGCACACUGCAAAUACAUAUGUGUUACAUUUCUUAUGAACUUUUAUGUUUUUUUAUUCUGGAUUGGAGCAUGCUCGCACUCCAAAUCCUCCAAUAGCCCUUUGCUCAGUGGAGACAAAUCUAUAACCAGGUGUGCCCGGAGGAUAUCCCAGCUGCCCGUAACCAAAUUCCUCCAAUUACUAGUUUCCUGGGCUCCCUGGAAAUACCAGAAUAUUGUGGUGUCCAACCACCUCCUGCUGUCAAUGAGAAAGCUGGCACCUUCGAUAUCACUCUUGCGAUCUUGGCGAGCAGGUCACUGACAUCUUGGUGGGCACCAUUAGUUUUUGUUUUUAUUUAAAUUUAAUGCUAUAUACAUGUACCGUAAGAUUCGAUAUGACGAAAAAUCUUAAAAAAAUACAAAUUUUUUUUGGGAAGCCCUAGGCACCCCAAACCAGGUGAGGUCACACGGGCCUAUGCGAGAUCCGGCGUGCCAGCAAACUGGCUCCUAACAGAGUGUUCGAUGACAGAAUAAUUCCCAUCCCCGCCAAUACCAGUCCUAUCCAUGAAAAGGCGAAGAAGGCCCACGUCGGCAUGCUCUGUCGCUAGUCCCCACUAGCGCCUUCUGCGGGUCCCGUCACCAGUCCUCGCUGAUCGGUCUCUCAUCUUCUCCACCGGGACCCCUCGCCGCCGUCUCCUCUGCCUCUCAUCUUCUGCAACAACGGGUAGGCAAAGAGGUGGCAUGUGUGGCUCGCCGGCCGUUGAGCCGAGGCAGAGCGCGCGUCUCGGCAUCAAAGACAAAGGAUGCACGGGAGUCAAUUGGAAGUCGAUGCAGGAGGAGCGUAGGAGAGAGAAGGCACUGUGCUAUAUGUUUUUUUUUUGUUAUUUAUGGUGCAUUGUUGGUGAGCGUGAUGAGUCCUAUCCUACAAUGAGACUUAUGAGCAGUUUGGGAGUGUACCCAAACUAAUUUUGGGUUGGGUUGAAGUGAACCCAUCACGCCUUUGGGUAGAAGGACAGGGUUAUCCCAUAUUUUUUAUUUGGUUGGAGAUAAACUGUGUCGGGGUUUGGAUUCAUGACACGUGGGUCCUGCAUGUCAGCCUUCUAUCAAUUCUUCUCCCAUGGGUCAUCCUUUGAUCGUCCCUGACACCGCCGCUCUCUGCUCCCACACUAUCGUGGCCCUCUACAACCAAUGCAUCUCGCUCGCGCAGCUCUCUUGGCUUGCCUGCGCAUGGGCACAAUUGCCACGUCUGGCCAUAGAAGAGACCGUGUUCCGACUAUCGGAUCCCUACGUCCAGCAAUGGUUGUUGUUUAUAUUCAAUUCGAGAGCACCCAAAUCAGGGGUUACAAUGAAAGAGAGUGAAUCGACACGAGAUCACUCGGUGCUAUCAAGCCUCGUUGGUGGCGAGGAAGAAGAAAUGUUCCCCUCUCUCACUGGAUUGCUAACCAUGCCUACAAAAAGGAUGGAUACAAAACUCCCCGAUUUCUAGGAAGCCCCUACAAUCGAUUUUCAAGCCGCCUCUACAAAUCAAUUUUCAGAAAUCAUGCGAUUUUAGGCUAAAAAAUAGGAACAAAAAGUGGCACCAUUGGUCCACCAACCCUUCCCCUCACACAUAUCUUCCUCUACCACUGCACCCUACACUCAAUGUGUCUAUAACCUAUUUUUGGCUUGCAGCAUAAGCCACAAUAUUUUUUGUACACUUUGUGGCCGACGGGAUUUGAACCCAUGACCUUCCCCUCACAUGUAUCCUCUUCUACCACUACACCUCACACUUAAUCUGUCUAUAAUCCAUUUUUGCACACUUCGUGGCCGAUGAAAUUCGAACCCAUGACAACCCUCCCCCCGCCUAGCACGUAUCCUCCUGUAUCACCUCACACUCAAUGUUUUUAUAAUCCAUUUUUGCUUCCCAAAAUAUUAUACCGAGCAUAAAUUGAUUGUCUGAGGCCCUAAACGAUUUCAUAUGAACAAGUUAUCAACUAUAAAGUUUCAUAACUUUUUUAUAUCUAUAACUUUCAUGUUGGUAAUUUUUCCAUCUGAGAUCGUUUCAAAAAUUUGAAUUUAAAAUUUACAAGAUUCAAACGUAAUUUUUCAUGAUAAGAUGAUAGCAAAUGAAAAAGCUAUCAACUAGAAAGUUUCAUAACUUUUCGAAAUCUACAACUUUCAAUUUUGCUAUUUGUCCAUCCGCGAUCGUUUAAAAAAUCAUAAUUUGAAAUUUUGAAAAUUUAAGCAUAGUUUUCUUGACAACAUGAUUUCGAUAACAAGUUAGUCAUCACCGAGUUCAUAUGAAGCCAACGGUCUGGCUUCCACGAUGGAUUUGUGGACCGAAGCAGACCGGCGUUAGACAUGUAGAUAUUAUGAGACUCGAAAUAGACGUCUUGCUAUUGAUGGAAAUAUCGCCUACCGCUGAAAGCACAACAACAUUAAAUCCCUAAAGUAUUUACUCCCAGGAGUUGAAAGAACUACUAAGGCCUUUGUAAACCACUAGGCUACAGACCUUUGUUUCUGUAAACAUGCAUGCUUACACCUCCUUGACACUAGAUCAAUCGGACAUGGCAAAAACGAGAUAAACUUUUUAUACAGUUUAUUUGUAAAUCGCGAGAUAAACUUUUUAAGUCUAGUUAGUCCAUGAUUGGACAAUAUUUACCAAAUAAAAACGAAAGUGCUACAAAACCAAAAAAAUUUAGGCACUAAACAAGGCCUGACUGUUAGAACACCCAUGGUCACUUGGUUCUGUAGUUUGACGAAGGCUGCCUGCACUGCCGUGAAGGCGACGGCAUCGAUUCCCCAUCAGAUCAGUGGGCAGAAGCAGCAGUGUAUUCUGGGUGUACACAGAUUAUUAUGCAUGCAUUUUGGGAAUUAUCGUUGUUCUGCAUCUGUACCUUGUGCUCGUAGGAGCACAAAACAGAGCUUGUUCUGUUUUCAGACAUUGUUCACUCUGCUUUCUUGAUGCUCCUCAAGUUGCUGUACCCAAGCCAAACUAGCAUACGAAUUAGCGGUCUCAUCCCAGCCAUCAAUCAAAUGCCCAUCGCCCACUUAGCAAGUCUUCCUGUUUGCUACCAACGGGGGCUUCACAUCUACCGUCGGUAUUAUUAUUUCCUCAUUCAAUCUCCUCCGUUAAACAAGUCAAAAUUCCCUUAUAUAUAGCAGCAAAGAAAUGGACGAAUAUUGGUAUCUUUUAUGACGAGAGCUGAUUGUGACAUCCAUCCAUUAUUAUUAUAUUAGCCUGCCGUGGAGCAUGCAUGGACGGACGACGCCACAGUAGACUGAACUGCAACGUCUGUUGAACACAACGUCUGUCUGUUGCAUGAUGAUGCUGAUGAUGGCUCACCCUGUUGAACCGUGGAAGCAAGUUCGGACUGAACUGCAGCAGCAAUUUACAAGCCCGUUUUGAUCGCGUGUGUUGGAAUGGAACCGCUCGUGCCCAGGCUCUGGAUGGAUGGUUUUCGGCUUCCCUGUGUCUCGCUCGCACUGCUACCAUCAUCUCGUGACUCAAACAUCAUGUAUGCCUGGCCUUGUUUAGUUCCUAAAAAAUUUUGCAAAAUUUUUCAGAUUCUCCGUCACAUCAAAUCUUUAGACGCAUACAUGAAGUAUUAAAUAUAGAUGAAAAUAAAACUAAUUGCACAGUUUGGUCGAAAUUGAUGAGAUGAAUCUUUUAAGUCUAGGUAGUACAUAAUUAGAUAAUAUUUGUCAAAUACAAACGAAAGUGUUACUAUUCCAAUUUUGUAAAAAAAUUUGGAACUAAACAAGGCCAACUUUCAUCUACGUUCCAGUGCUAGAUGGCUCCCCACACUAACUUGGCAUAAGUUGGCCAUACAUCAUUACAUUAUUUAAUUUACAGAGGAUAGACAUUGACCAAGGCUAGAGCCUCGCAUAGUCAGGGGUCACCUUCAUCCAACAAACACGCUGAGUCAGAUUUGUCGCGAUCAUUUUGGAAUAUAUAAUCCCAAAGCAUCUGAUUCCACUACUAAAGCUGAUGAUUCUUAUAAUAUAUUUUUUAUGAAAAAAUAAAAAAACGCAGGAAGUGGCCUACAUUGAAUGCACAAAAUAUUGUUUCCACACAGUACAAAGAUAGAUUGCACAAUCGUCUUUGUGCCUGCUUGGAUUCCACCACUAAUCGAACGAAGCUGCCUGGCACUUUCCUUCUCACCUUGCACUGUCACCACACGACCCACUCCAACCACCACCUUCUUCCCUGAAUCAUCACCAUUUUCCUUCCCAGCUUCAAGCAGCCAAACGGAAGACACCAACCAGCUACUGCGAUUCUUGCGGACAACUUGACUCCAUGCAUGUUGCUGCUCAACCUUUCAUCACUAACGGGCAUGCCACAAUCCAGCAGUAGCAUCUGGUUGGUCAGGUCGGCGAUGUCCAUGCUGAUUCCUGCCUAGCCAUUGACCAAUAAUACAUCCUGUUGUUGCAACGCCUCUCCGCUUCCGGCCAUUGCUCAGCUCAUCGGACUCAGGUUUGUUUCCUUAACCGUUACGUUUCUGCAGUGGCUUAUGCUUAGCAAGAUCUGCCCAUAUAGCUACUGCCCCCAGUGACCCACCGGCACGGCACAGUCCAGCAGUAGUAUAAGGUGGGUCAGGUCGAAGAUGUCCAUACUGAUACCUGUCUAACCAUUAACUAAGAUCGAGAUCCUACUCCACGACCAAGCUAGAACGAACAACAGUGGCACUGCCUCACCAAUUCUGGCCAUUGCACAGCUCGUCAACUUGAGGUUUGUUUCCUUAACCGUUACGUUUCUGCAGCUAGUUGUGCACAGAUAGUGCCCACUGUGUUGUAAUUGUUAUAUGUCUCUGCAGCUGCUUAUGAGUAUCUAGAUCUGUGUAUAUAGUUGCCACUGUCAUGUACUUGUAUCAAUAAUGAACGAGAAGUCAGUACUAGUGCCGCGAUGGCUGCAUGUACAGAUGGCAGAUGAUUGAAUCUUUGUUGUAUAAAAUUGAAAUGCAGUGUUGAAAUUAACAUCUGUUCUAAUUUCGUUACAGCAAAAACGGAAGUUCCCAAUCAUGGCCGGUGUCCUAGAUGCUUUGGCAUCCUACAUCCAAAACAUGCUUCUGCAGAUGGCGGCAGAAGAGGUGCAUAUGUUGCUUGGGGUGUCCGGUGAGAUUGACAACAUGGACAUCAAGCUUCGGGAUCUAAAGAACAUCCUUGCUGAUGCUGAUAGGAGGAACAUCACUGACAAAAGCGUCCUAGCAUGGGGGAUAGAGCUAAGGAAUGCUAUGUAUGAUGCCACUGAUAUCCUCGACCUUUGCAAGCUCAAGGCUAUGGAGCAAGGCCAAAGGCAUGAUGCCGGAUGCUUCAACCCGUUGCUCUUCUGCAUACGGAAUCCCCUACAUGCCCACGAUAUUGGAAGCCGCAUCAAGAACCUUAACAAGAGGCUAGACGACAUCAAGGCACGUGGUGCAUCAUUCAACUUCCUGAACCUUAGUACUUAUGAGGAUCGUGGAAGAAAUGUGAUAUCAUAUGGUUCUAGUACCCGUGAGACAUCGGGGGGCCUUGUUGAGUCUGGUUUGGUUGGUGAGAAGAUUGAAGAGGACACAAUAAAUCUUGUGGAGAUGCUAACAAAGAAGUAUCCUACCGACGACAACAAAUCCAACAAAAUAAUGGUUUUCUCUAUUGUGGGAGCUGGUGGGAUUGGUAAAACCACCCUUGCUCAAAAGAUCUUCAACAAUGAAGUCAUAAAGGAUGAGUUCAAAAAGAAAAUAUGGUUGAGUGUCAACCAAGGCUUUGAUGAUAUUGAAAUGUUAAGGAGGGUUAUUAUCGAAGCUGGUGGAAACCACCAUGAUUGUGGAAAUGCAAAGGUGUCACUAGAACACACUCUAAUAGAAGCUUUGAAGGGACAAAAAACCUUAUUAAUAAUAGAUGAUGUCUGGGACAGCCGUAUAUGGGAAGGCGUGCUUAGAACUCCCUUUGUCAAUGCCAUGCUAGCUGAAGGUAGCCGUGUGCUGGUCACCACAAGGCAUGACACAGUGGCACGUCAGAUGAAGGCGGAGGAGCCCUACCAUCGUAUUGACAGACUUGGGCUUGAAGAUGCAUGGAUGCUGCUCAAGAAGCAGGUUCAAGUUAAUCCAUACAUUUAUUACUUUUCAUUAAUCAUGCGUUAUGUUUUCUAGCUGCAUCACUUUAUUUGCUUCUAUCUUAGUAGUGGGAACUAGAUUCCCUGUCUUGGCAGCAACUUCUAUUUUUCUUCUUUGUUUCAACCAUGUAGUUCUAUGGUUGUGACCUUCGAAAAAUAAGAUAAAGAAACAAAAUGACAUACUUCCUUGCGUUAGCAUUGUAAUAUCUUGCAUAUGCAGUCAUGUAGACUCCACAUAUAGUGCAGGUAUUCACUUUUUUUGUUAAAGCAAUUCAAAAUUGGACAUUGUAUUACACUCCCUCCUUUUUUUAAAAGAACUUGAGAUCUGUAGGUUCGAUUGGAUCUGUAAUUGGCUGUAAUGUAGGCAAUAUGAAAUGGCGAAUUAGUAACUAAUUUAAAUUCACAAACUAAGGAAACCAUAAUAAGUAUGUUUAUCACUAUUCUUUUUAGAGUAAAAUAAAAAAAAGGUCUUUGAAGUUAUUCUGUAUGAUGUUGUCUGAUCCUCAAACUCUCAAAAUGCUUGCAUUGUGAGGUUAUAGAAAUUGUCCUUGUAUGGAAUGUAAGUCCCAAGCCCUUAUAAUGCUACUUUCAUCCACAGGACUUGUCACGUGUUGUCAUCUAGUCUUGUUCUUAAUGAGCCCUAACACACUAUACACCCUCAUGUGGCAUGUCACAAUUGAUCCAUUUGUGGUUCAGUAUUGAUGAGUAGUCUAACACGAGGUUAUGUAUAUCACACAUAUUGGGCUGUUGCACUAUAUCCGAGCGAAGAGAGAGAGAGGGGGAACUCGGGAUGGUGGUCCAAAGGCCAACAUAUAUGUGUGGUGCCCAUAGAUAGAAUCGACUAGUACAGAUAUUAUGAGACAUAUAGGUAGCAUUUGGUUAGGAGAUAAGGUGGGAUGGAAGAAUGAUCUUGUCUCUGGUUGGAGGGAUGCAGUGACCCUAUUUUCUUUUUGGUUGGAAAGCGAUGGGACCAAUUUGUUUUCUAUUUGGUCUUAGAUAUAAUAACUCAAAUCAUGUGGGUCCCAUUUGGCAGUUUUAAUUCUCUUUUUCUUCCUCCUCUCCUUACCUUGUUCACGAACUGUAGCCACCCAAAGGACUCGCAAGUGCGACACCCUCUGCCUCCUCCCGUUGAGUCGGCCAUGGCUUAUGCCACCUGCUUCAUGUGUAGCCACCCAAAGGACUCGCGCACGGUGGCUCCUAAAAGGUUGCACGACGGCAGCCUCUGAGCUCACGCGUGGAGGCUCCUCUUAUCUCGGCACAGUGGUGCCCCCCCAAGGUCAUGCAAGGCGGCAAUCUCCCGAGCUCGCGCGAUGGUGGCCCCCUGUGCUCCUCGUCUUCAUUGACCUCCCGUAUGUGCACCUCCUCUUGUCUUCUUCCUCACCAGUGAGUGGGCUUGUCCCACCUCAGGUGACCCCCUGUUCGUCAAAUUUCUGCACAAGCACGCAUGUGAGCAACUAUCGUGGUCGUGUAGCCACCAUGCUUGCGCAGCCAAAUAGAAUUGGGGUAUGAAAUAGUUUAAGGAUCUAAAUGUACAGUUUUACAUUUAGUGAUCUGAUAGAAGAUGCCGUAGUUUAGAGACUAUGGGUGUAAUUUGCUCUAUGACAAUGGUUGGAAUCGCUUCCAAUCGCCUCCCAUCGCCUCCGCUAAAAACUUUUUUCUUGAUUUAAUUUGUGGAAGGGUAAUAACAUCAUUGUACAAGGUUCUCUGAAACCCCAACCCCUAUCAUCGGCAGCGACGGCUCCCUGUAACACGCAUUGGUGGACGCAGACGGGUGGAACUCAUAGAAGAUUUAAAAAAACUUAAGAAGAAGAUUUUUAUCUAACUAGCUAUAGUACUUGAAUCAAACAUCCUAUCUAUGUUACUCAAAAUAUUACUUUUACAAUUAUGAAUUUACCCUUUUACCCUUCAUUAAAAAAGAAAUACAAAAGGAGAAAUUACCGCUCCUCUAUUUAGGGUCUUAAUUCCUAUAAUUUUGGAGGCGAUGGGAGGCAAUGUGACAUCUAUGGCCCACCGACCAUAGACACACCUAUUGCCUCCCAUCACCUUGCUUCCAUCGCUUUGCUUCUCAUCGCCUCUCCAACCAUUGUAAAAAUAUUAAUUAUAGUAUUAUUACUGGACGUACGUGUAUGUGGAGAAGGCAUUGCUUAUGAAUUGUAUACAACAGUAUUUAAAAUUGAUUUUUGAACGUGAAGCUGGUGGAAGCGUGAUAUAUAGCAAAGAAUCCACAUACCAACGCUAAACUCAUGGUGGCAAUUAAUGUACAUGCUUUGUAAACUGCAAUUGCCCACUGGGUGAAAUCUAAGGAAGAGUGGGCCAAGAAACUAAUAUUAGACCUAGUACCACUUAGAAUAUUAAUUAUUUUAUAACAAAAUUUGAAACUAAACCAACCGCAUUUGUUGGGAGUAGACUAUACAGCUUUCAACCGUUUAUUUGUAUUGGAAUGCACGAGGAUAUUACAUGCUGAGUUAUUAGUGUAGUGUACUGGCACAGUAGCGUAUAUAUGGAUGUGUGUCACUUGUAAUGGAAACAAUUAUUUCUAAUAUUUUUGCUUGGCCAUACGUACGUUUGUGCGCACCUUCUAGUGAGCAUUCUUCCUCAAUGUUGAGUUUUGUUUGCACGAGCACUGUAGCUUUAUUACACAGAAUUUCUAUCGACUAUUGCGUCAACCCAUGUUCUGGCAUGGGCUCGAAUUUUAUGAGAUAUAAGUAUUAAGUAUUGUUCUGGUCAUUUCAAAUUAUAAACCAUUUUGGCUAUUAAAGAUAUAUUAUUUUUCAUUGUACCUAACAGUAUAUCUAAGUGUAUAGAAAAAACUAUAUACUUUCGAAACAUGUUAUAAUUUGAAAUGCGCGGAGUAGAUCUGAAUAAUAAUGAAAUAGUCAUAAAUUAUAUGUUUUUCUCUUUGUCUAAUCUCUAACAUAAUAGACAUGAUAGAUACUCUAUAGUCUAUAUCUAGUUAUCAUAAACUUAUUAGUUACUAUUUUUUCAACAAACUAAUCUAUAUAUUUUUAUCCAUAUUACUUCAAAUAUGCAAUUACUUUGAAACCUUACCAUUAAUCACGGUGGCUCUUGUUUUGUUAUGUAUCAAAUUUCUUAUUGACUGCAUCAGAUUUAUUUUUUCUCUCCUUAAGUUAAGUUGAACCCCUUAUGCUUAUUGUAUCUUUCAUUAACUCUUCUUUUUGUAUUUUUGAAAUAAGAAUUUUAGGACAUAGUUUACAUUCUUAGGAACUACAAUAGCAUAAGACAUCAUUUGAAACAUACACCAUAUUGCUUAAGAUAAGCCACAGAGCUUGAAGUGAGUUCACAAACAUGAUGGCUAAGGAAAUAUUAACCUCAAGAGAAUUUUUUAUUCUAUUGCUAAGGAAAUAACUUUUUUGUGAUUAAACAUAACAUAUUUAUUCCAUUGCUCAUGCAUGAUGGCAUUACGUGUAUAUUUACUUUAAUCAAAUCUUACUAUAUGUGUUUUAUGAGAAUUUCUAGGAUCUAUCUUUUGUUUUCCUAUCAAGUCUUGUGACGAUUAACAUGCAAGCUCUAGUAGAAACGUCUUGUUAGAAUUUAUAGUAUUUAUCUUUUUUCUAGUGUGAUAUGUAUUUAGUUGAAAACUAAACUUAAGAUAUAUAAACUCUUGAUACAACUCUUUUUUGACAUUGCAAAUCUACAUUUAUCUUUUAACUUUGAAUUAAAUUGUUGCAAUUUCUUCACAUGUUAAUUAGAAAUUCUGGUAUUCUUUAUCUUUUAUUCAAAAAUCAUUUUUUAUUAUAACGAAUAUAGGUCCAGUAGUAUUGUUUUCCACAUAUGCUAAAAUUUGGCUUGCAUUCUGACAGUAAACAUGUUCAAUUUGUUAUGUCAUACGAUUAUGUGUUGUAUUAUUGAUAUAUCAUAUUGUGCAUAAAUUUAAGUUGACAAUAUUGAUAUGACAUAAUGUUUCAGUAAAAACAUAUAAACUUGUUUAAAAUAAUAAUUAUUGAAUUUAUUAUCACGGAGUAUAGAUAUAAAGUGUUAUUGCUACAUCGUUUGCUAUGUGAACAUUUUUCAAUGUUUCAUAACUUUUAAAAUAAAUGUUAUCCAAAUUUAUACAUGUUUAUUUGAUAUACAUGGUGCAACAUUGCAUUUAGUUAUUUUAUUUCACGAUUAUUGAAUUAUGCAAUUUAGAAAUAUAUACAUGUACCAUACUUUUUGUUAAUAUUGAUAUUUUUAAUAGUAUAUAUUACUAUUUACAUGUCAAUUUUAGAUAUGUUUUGUUUAUCUUCAAUUCUGGCUAAGGUACAUACAAAAAUAAAUUUAAUACCUUGCAUUAUAUUUCACAAAGACAUAAAUGGAUAGGUUCAACACAAACAUAGAAUAUUAAUUUGCAUUAUUUUUCAUAAUGAUAAAGGUGGGAGAAUUUAUAAUUAGGAGGCAUUUUAAAUUAUGUUCCAUAAGGGUAUAUUGGGUAGUUUAGAUACAAAGUUAGAAUAUUAUUUUUUAUUAUCUUUCACAAUGACAAAAGCAAGGUAAUUUAGACACAAUUUUAGGGGUUUAUUUAAAUUAUGUUUCAUAAUCGCCAACGUGGGUAAUUUAGAUGAAAAAUCAGGGAGUGAUUUUGAAUUAUUUUUUAUGAUGACAUACAUGGGUAAUUUAUAUACAAAUAUAGAGGGUUAUUUUGAAUUAUCUUUUGUAAUGUCACAAUUGGGUAAAUUAAAUGCAAAAUUCGGGGUUACUUUAUUGUAUUUUCAUAACGGCAGUAGUGGGUAAUGUUUUAUAAACUAUAAUAGAUGCAAUGGCUAUUAUCACUGAUGAUAUUAGAGUUUAUCAAAUGAAAGGCUAGAUGUUUUUUAUUAUUGUCAUAAUUUGGAGGAUUUAUCUUUUUACUAGCAUUUUGUUAUGUCUCUGUUGGGGUCUCUAAUUAGAAUUUAUAGGAUUUAUCUUUUCUAGUUUCUGGUGAGAAUUAACGUGGUGUCUCUGUUGGGGCUUCUAAUUAGUAAUAACUAGGAGGAUUCCCCGCGCUUUGCUGCGGGUAUGAAAGAGGAAUAUAAAUAUGGUCUCACUAUAGUCUAUUAUGUCAUCUAUAUAUAGUUUUAGUAGUCAGUUUCAAAAGAGAAAGAGAGGAGAUCACGUGAGAAAAUAAUUGCUAGCAGUAUGCAUGCAUGGUCAUGUGUAGGUAGUUGCAUCCACUGCUGGAACCAUUUGUGAGUGGGCUAAAUUGCAUGCAGCAGCAGAAGAAGUGGAUGAUGAUGCAGCAGAAGAAGUGAAACUUUUUGGAUCUAAACAAUGCCUUAGUUGCAUAUGCAUAAAGUAUAAUAUAAAAAAGGAUGACCAAUAAUUGUGUGCUAGAGAUCCCAUUUCUUCUUGAUGUGCUUUGCAUUGGUAGCAUAUCACAACACUGCACGGUAAAUUAUUUUUUGUCUAAUUGGCCUGAAAUUCUUGCAGGCUGUCAGAGAUGUGAAUGAUGAGCCGCAGGUUGAAAAUUUAAAGGAUAUUGGCUUGAUACUUGUAAAAAAAUGUGAUGGUUUACCUCUUGGGAUCAAAGUAAUGGGAGGUCUCCUGAGUCGGAAAAGGAUAACACGAACCGACUGGCAAAAGGUCUUAGAUGAUUCUCUAUGGUCAAUAUCACAAAUGCCUGAAGAGCUAAAUUAUGCAGUAUAUCUUAGCUAUGAAGAUCUAGACCCUUGUUUGAAGCCUUGUUUUUUGCACUACUCCCUCCUCCCUAGGGGUACAGUUUUUUUUGUUCAUGAAAUUGUUGGAAUGUGGAUUGGUGAAGGAUAUGUUCAUGGAACAUUACGUGACGACCUAGAAGAAAUAGGAAGGGAAUAUUAUAAUGAGUUAAUACAGCGGAACCUUAUUGAGCCAGAUAUCAAGUUUAUUGAUCAAAGUGUUUGCAACAUGCAUGAUGUUGUCCGGUCAUUUGCUCAGAACAUGUUCCGAGACGAAGCACUCAUAACUCACAAUAGUAGAAUUGGGAUUGACAAGCUUAAAGCACAAAAGUUUAUGCGGUUAUCUCUCGAAAGCAAACAAUCGGAACAAUCUGAUUUGGAGUGGUGUUCUCUACAAACACAAAUGUCACUGAGAACAAUGCUUUUAUUUGGUAAUAUAAAGAUUCAACCAGGUGAUUCAUUUCGUUCUUUUUCAAGUCUCCGAACACUACACUUGGGCAGUGUAAAUAUUGUUGCAAUACCCGAAUCUUUGUAUCAGCUGAAACAUCUGAGGUAUCUGUCAAUAGAAAACAGUAAUAUAUCUAAGUUAUCAGAAGACAUUGGCAAGUUGAAAUUCUUGCAGUUCAUUAGCCUUUUUGGUUGUCCGAGUUUGACCAAGCUUCCCAGUAGCAUUGGACUGCUACAUGACUUGAGGUAUCUCUGUCUUCACAGAACAAAUAUAAGUGUUGUACCAAGGGAUUUUUGUGGUCUAACUUCUUUGAGGAAAUUAUAUGGAUUUCCAGCCCACAUGGACUGUGACCGUUGUAGUUUGGAGGAACUUGGGCCUCUCUCCCAGCUAACUGAACUUAAUAUCAGUUUCUUGGAGAAUGUAGCUUCUUCCUCAUCUGCUAUACAGGCCAAACUUGGUGGAAAGAAGCGCCUAAGGUAUCUCUCACUGGGUUGCACCAGUAGACUUGGAGAUGAUGGCCUGUUGGUAAAAAAGGAAGAAGGGAUCUCUGAGAAAGCCAAGAGACAAAUCGAGGAGGUCUUUGAUGAGCUCUGCCCUCCGCUUGGCUUAGAAAACCUUAACAUUGAAGGGUAUUUCGGUGAGCGGCUCCCAAGAUGGAUGAUGUCAGCAGCAGCAGUUAUGCCGCUUAGGAGCUUGAGGACUGUUACGAUGGACAACUUGGCCUGCUGCACAGAGCUUCCUAGUGGCUUGAGUCAGCUCCCCUGCUUGGAGCUUCUGCAGAUUGUUCGUGCCCCAGCCAUCAAGUGUGUUGGGCAUGAAUGGCUACAACCAAACAAUCAAUUAGGUUUUGCGUUUCCCAGACUGCAGGAGCUGCACUUUGAGGGAAUGGUCGAAUGGGAGGAAUGGGAGUGGGAGGAACAAGUGAAAGGCAUGCCUAUCUUGGAGUUGCUUAAACUGAAAAUGUGCAAGUUGAGGCGUGUGCCACCAGGCCUGGCCUUCCACGCAAGGGCUUUGAAGAAGUUAUGUAUAUAUGGUGUGAAGCAUCUAAGCUCUUUGGAGAACUUUGCUUCUGUGGUCCACCUGGACGUGUUUAGAAACACUCACCUGGAGAGGAUCAGUAAUCUACCAAAACUGCAGAAGCUCGUCAUCGUCAUGUGCCCAAAGCUGAAGGUAGUGGAUGGCAUGCCUGCACUCCAGAGACUCAAUCUGGAGGAUUAUGACAUGGAAACAGUCCCCAGGUAUCUGCAGGAUGUAAACCCAAGGCAUUUGCUGCUGCAUUGUUCCAUAUCGCUGCUCACAUGCAUAGCAGCAGGGAAAUCUGGUCCUCAGUGGGACAAGUUCAGCCACAUCCAGCAAGUCAAAGCUGCAAAUGAAGAAGGCUGUCCAAGGAAGUGGUAUGUGCUCUACACAAGGAACCCUUACCGCUUCGAGACAAAUAUCAGCCGCUCUGCUAUUGCCCAAGGUAAAUUAACACAGCCGCCUUCCAAUGUAAUUUAUUUUUUGGCACUCUGUUUUCCUCGGUUUCCUUCAAUCAGUUCAAUUCAUCUUCUGCAGCUCACGGACGCCGCAUAUGGCUUGCUUACUCGGAAACAUGUCCCAUUGAAGAUGAGUGGCCCACAGGAGGACACACGUAUGUAGAAAAACGUAUGCCCCUCUGCGUACGCUUCAGGUAAAAAAGUUGGCUACACGUUGAUUGCUUCCCUCUGUUUCAGUAAUUGUGCAUGCUUACACCUCCUUGACACGUGAUUAAUUGAACAUGGCAAGUUCUUUACCAUUUCAUUUCGUCCGUGCAACGUAUUUUUGCAACAUGUGCAGGUGCAACGCCUAUCGCCACUUGAAUGGCUGGUUUGAUGAAGCGUGCCUGCACUGCCAUGAAGCCGACAACAUCGCUUCCCCAUCUGAUCAGUGGACCCAAGGAGAAGUGCUUUCAGCCCGUAUAAAGACUGUUUGGGCAUGAGUGGAGGAAACGUCUUUAGUUUAGUGUGAGUAUGUGCAUCUUGGCUAUUCCUUGAUCUGCUUCUGUACCUUGUGUAUAAGAUCCUCAGCUUGUGUAUGUUCAUUUUACUGCUUAUUAGGGGCUUGUGUUCGAUCUUAUACUGUAACAUCUAGAAUACGUUUAUUGCGUUAGAAGUGUAAAGUGGUAAAAUAAUAAUAAUUGUAAUUUUAUCCAUCACUCAAAUGAAUGAUCAGAGAUUUUAGAUGCGUAGAGCUCGUCGAAUGCUUUCAGUUGCACUACUCAUAUGUAUUGUUUGGAAUUUGGAUCAUGGAGAUAUAAAUUUCAGAAGUUUUAAGAAAGAAAAAAUAAACAGGACCUUUUACUGUAGUGUGACGCGUGGUGGCCUUUUAUAUCCGCUCCAAGGCCUUUAGGUUCCAUCCAUAGCUUUUCAUAUUCAGGAUAAAAAAAAAGAGGAGAGGGGAGAAAAGAGAAAGGAGAAGAGAGAAGGGGAGGAUAGGGCCUAGGGUUUUGCCGCCGUCGUAGCCGCCGCCGCCGCUGUCGGUCAUCCGUGGUGGUCGUUCUUCCUUCCGUGGAAAAUACGGUUUGGUUCUACCUUGUAUCUUGGCUGUCCCAUUGAUCUACCAUGUCCCUUUUACUGUCCAUGAGGGCUUAGCCAUGUUUGGCGUAGAUCGGAAUAACAAGGCUUUUAUGGCGGCAAGGAUCGUGGCGAGUUGGAUCGGAGAUAAUGGAAAGGUGAAGAGGCGGAGAAGAAGGAGUAGACGCCAGGAGUUUCGGCGUCGUGCUCGCUGUGGUUCUCUAGGUGAGAAGCCAAAUAUUAAUCCCCUUCAUCUGAUCAAGUUUUGCGGAUUAAAUCGCUUAUUUGGGAUUGGGUUUAGUGGAGAAAUUCUUGAAGUCAUUUUCGUUCAUGUCCUGAAAUUCUCGUCAGACUGAGCAGUCACUGUUCAUCGUAAUGUUAUGGCAUUUUAGAGGCUUUAAUAAUUUUUGAGCCUGUGGACAAAGUUGUAGAGGACUUCAUUAUCUUUCUUUGGACGCCAAGAACUCUGUCAGAGCAGUUAUAUUUUGUGAGAUAUCGAGUUUUCAAUCUGACUGUUUUCCAGUGACGAAAAUCUGGACAGUUUUGGAUCUAAACAGUUUUUGACCCUGUUAAUGAAAUAAUUAGGUCUUUGAUUAUUAACAAAUGUUUUAGGAUUUUUGUUAAGCUUUCUAGAUUGGUAAAGUUUGUAACUUUUGAAUAAGUAUAUCACCAGUUAUGAAUUUUUGAAGUUUGAUGUUCUGUUUUGAAGGUCAGAAAUAUUCAGUUGUGUUCUAUGGUUAAUUAUACCAUCUUGCAGAUCUCUGAUGCAAAACCUUACAAUACAAAAGUUGUAUAUAACAGAGUUUUACAUGAUCUGAUAAAUUAUGGUAAUUUUUGGAUGAGUAUUCUGAAGUAUAUGAAAAAGAGAAGAGUCGGUGCUGCUGUCUUGAUCGGUAGCGCAAACGGUAGAGGCUUGAAUGUCGGGUUUGGGGCGCAUUAGUGCGUAUUUGUUCUUACUCUUGCUUGUAUGUUGGUGUAUGUACUGAGUAGUAUUUGUGAUCAGGUGGUAGCACUUCAGAACAUCGCUAGUGUUUUUGUUCUCCUUCGGUAAAGUGGCAAGUGAAUGUAGCGGUGGUUUGCUACCGUUUUGGCUUGUUAUUUUUAUCACCUACAGUUUAUUGUCUAUAAGAAUGUCAUCCCUCUCAUAUCUAAAAUUUAUGAUUUUGGUAUAUUUAGUCUUAGUUAAAUUGUGGUCUUAUUUAAGUAUUUAUGGUGAUGGUAUUAUUUUAUAUUGUUAUUUGUGGCUAGCCCACAAACUUGAAUUUGAAGUCGGAGUAUCAUUGGUGAUUUAUUAAUUUUAUUGCAACAUGCCAAGUGCAUUGCAUCAUUCAUUGGCAUUGGAAGUUAUGUCUUGACCUAUGGUCAUGACUGUACCGGUAUGCAUCAUGGGAUGCAGCUCCACACCUUGUUGGGUGUGCAGGCAGGAGACAUAUGCAUUGCAUUCAUAUGCAUUCAUGAGAAGUAUGUUAUUGAAGAGAUUUUAUCCACGUUAUUAUGAAGCUCUGUAUUAUUGGCUAUGUUCCAAAUUGGAAGACUGUUACUUUUAGUAUGAUAUUAUGUCAAUUGAGAACAUCAUAUUAAAUUGAUGUUAAUUCAAAUUGUGGUUUCAAUAGCUUGUCAAAACAAGUUCGCUUGCUGAGAUGUUUCGUCUCACCCUUGCUUUACUCAAUCCAGGUACUUGAUGCUUACUUGGAAGGAAAGGGACUUAGCUGCACGUCACACACUUAUUCAUUUAGAGACCUUGUGUUUUAAUAAAUAAUAAUUUGGUUUGCUUAUUGGUUUUGAAGGCGGUUGUUAAAGUGUGGGUGUUAAACUUAAUUCUUGUUGAAGUAACUUAUUUGCGUUAGGAUGUUCAUUAAUCCUAGUUUGGUAUUUCAGUAUUUUUUUUUAUAUUUUAUUCUUCCGCUUGCUAUAAAUACAAAGAAGAUACUGUCAAAUUGUUUAUGGUUGUGUGCAGCUGUUGUUUGUGUAGUCUAGUAGCAUCCCGGUGUAUUUGUGGUUUUCGGGGUGUUACAUAUACAGUAUGGACACAUGCCACAUUGCAGAAAUAAAUGUUCUAUCUGCUACUGAACAUGUACACAGAUUGCAAAAUUAUAUGUUCUGUAAUUUCACUAUUUUAUCAGGCUUACGAUAGUGAAUGGUAAACUGGUUGUGAUGUCAUCAAUGGACUCAUGGCACACUGCAAAUACAUAUGUGUUACAUUUCUUAUGAACUUUUAUGUUUUUUUAUUCUGGAUUGGAGCAUGCUCGCACUCCAAAUCCUCCAAUAGCCCUUUGCUCAGUGGAGACAAAUCUAUAACCAGGUGUGCCCGGAGGAUAUCCCAGCUGCCCGUAACCAAAUUCCUCCAAUUACUAGUUUCCUGGGCUCCCUGGAAAUACCAGAAUAUUGUGGUGUCCAACCACCUCCUGCUGUCAAUGAGAAAGCUGGCACCUUCGAUAUCACUCUUGCGAUCUUGGCGAGCAGGUCACUGACAUCUUGGUGGGCACCAUUAGUUUUUGUUUUUAUUUAAAUUUAAUGCUCUAUACAUGUACCGUAAGAUUCGAUAUGACGAAAAAUCUUAAAAAAAUACAAAUUUUUUUUGGAAGCCCUAGGCACCCCAAACCAGGUGAGGUCACACGGGCCUAUGCGAGAUCCGGCGUGCCAGCAAACUGGCUCCUAACAGAGUGUUCGAUGACAGAAUAAUUCCCAUCCCCGCCAAUACCAGUCCUAUCCAUGAAAAGGCGAAGAAGGCCCACGUCGGCAUGCUCUGUCGCUAGUCCCCACUAGCGCCUUCUGCGGGUCCCGUCAUCAGUCCUCGCUGAUCGGUCUCUCAUCUUCUCCACCGGGACCCCUCGCCGCCGUCUCCUCUGCCUCUCAUCUUCUGCAACAACGGGUAGGCAAAGAGGUGGCAUGUGUGGCUCGCCGGCCGUUGAGCCGAGGCAGAGCGCGCGUCUCGGCAUCAAAGACAAAGGAUGCACGGGAGUCAAUUGGAAGUCGAUGCAGGAGGAGCGUAGGAGAGAGAAGGCACUGUGCUAUAUGUUUUUUUUUUGGUUAUUUAUGGUGCAUUAAUUGUUGGUGAGCGUGAUGAGUCCUAUCCUACAAUGAGACUUAUGAGCAGUUUGGGAGUGUACCCAAACUAAUUUUGGGUUGGGUUGAAGUGAACCCAUCACGCCUUUGGGUAGAAGGACAGGGUUAUCCCAUAUUUUUUAUUUGUGCCUUGUUUAGUUCCAAAAUAUUUUGCAAAAUCGACACUGUAGCUUUUUCGUUUGUAUUUGACAAAUAAUAUCCAAUCAUAGACUAACUAGGCUCAAAAGAUUCGUUUCGUCAAUUUCGACCAAACUAUGCAAUUAGUUUUUAAUUUUAUCUAUAUAUAAUACUUCAUGCAUGUGUCUAAAGAUUCGAUGUGACGGGGAAUCUGAAAAAUUUUGCAAAAUUUUUUGGGAACUAAACAAGGCCUUGGUUGGAGAUAAACUGUGUCGGGGUUUGGAUUCAUGACACGUGGGUCCUGCAUGUCAGCCUUCUAUCAAUUCUUCUCCCAUGGGUCAUCCUUUGAUCGUCCCUGACACCGCCGCUCUCUGCUCCCACACUAUCGUGGCCCUCUACAACCAAUGCAUCUCGCUCGCGCAGCUCUCUUGGCUUGCCUGCGCAUGGGCACAAUUGCCACGUCUGGCCAUAGAAGAGACCGUGUUCCGACUAUCGGAUCCCUACGUCCAGCAAUGGUUGUUGUUUAUAUUCAAUUCGAGAGCACCCAAAUCAGGGGUUACAAUGAAAGAGAGUGAAUCGACACGAGAUCACUCGGUGCUAUCAAGCCUCGUUGGUGGCGAGGAAGAAGAAAUGUUCCCCUCUCUCACUGGAUUGCUAACCAUGCCUACAAAAAGGAUGGAUACAAAACUCCCCGAUUUCUAGGAAGCCCCUACAAUCGAUUUUCAAGCCGCCUCUACAAAUCAAUUUUCAGAAAUCAUGCGAUUUUAGGCUAAAAAAUAGCAACAAAAAGUGGCACCAUUGGUCCACCAACCCUUCCGCUCACACAUAUCUUCCUCUACCACUGCACCCUACACUCAAUGUGUCUAUAACCUAUUUUUGGCUUGCAGCAUAAGCCACAAUAUUUUUUGUACACUUUGUGGCCGACGGGAUUUGAACCCAUGACCUUCCCCUCACAUGUAUCCUCUUCUACCACUACACCUCACACUUAAUCUGUCUAUAAUCCAUUUUUGCACACUUCGUGGCCGAUGAAAUUCGAACCCAUGACAACCCUCCCCCCGCCUAGCACGUAUCCUCCUGUAUCACCUCACACUCAAUGUUUUUAUAAUCCAUUUUUGCUUCCCAAAAUAUUAUACCGAGCAUAAAUUGAUUGUCUGAGGCCCUAAACGAUUUCAUAUGAACAAGUUAUCAACUAUAAAGUUUCAUAACUUUUUUAUAUCUAUAACUUUCAUGUUGGUAAUUUUUCCAUCUGAGAUCGUUUCAAAAAUUUGAAUUUAAAAUUUACAAGAUUCAAACGUAAUUUUUCAUGAUAAGAUGAUAGCAAAUGAAAAAGUUAUCAACUAGAAAGUUUCAUAACUUUUCGAAAUCUACAACUUUCAAUUUUGCUAUUUGUCCAUCCGCGAUCGUUUAAAAAAUCAUAAUUUGAAAUUUUGAAAAUUUAAGCAUAGUUUUCUUGACAACAUGAUUUCGAUAACAAGUUAGUCAUCACCGAGUUCAUAUGAAGCCAACGGUCUGGCUUCCACGAUGGAUUUGUGGACCGAAGCAGACCGGCGUUAGACAUGUAGAUAUUAUGAGACUCGAAAUAGACGUCUUGCUAUUGAUGGAAAUAUCGCCUACCGCUGAAAGCACAACAACAUUAAAUCCCUAAAGUAUUUACUCCCAGGAGUUGAAAGAACUACUAAGGCCUUUGUAAACCACUAGGCUACAGACCUUUGUUUCUGUAAACAUGCAUGCUUACACCUCCUUGACACUAGAUCAAUCGGACAUGGCAAGUUGUUUAACAUUUCAUCCCGUGUAACGUAUUUUUAGUUUUUUUUGCACCAUGUGCUGGUACAACGCCCAUCGUCACUCGGGUUUGAUGAAGCCUGGUUUAGUUCUAAAAAAAUUUGUAAAAUGAACACUAUAGUACUUUCGUUUGAAUUUAACAAAUAUUUUCCAAUCAUGUGCAAUUAGUUAUUUCUUUUAUCUAUAUUUAAUAUUUUAUGCAUGUGCCGCAAGAUUCGAUGUGACAGAGAAUCUAAAAAAUUCUGCAAAAUAUUUUGAAAGUAAACAAGCCCCAAGCCUGCCUGCACCGCCUUGAAGGCGACGGCAUCGAUUCCCCAUCGGCCAUCAGUGGGCUGAAGCAGCAGUGUAUUCUGCGUGUACAUUAUGUAUUUUGGGCAGUUUCGUUGAUCUGCAUCUGUACCUUGUGCUCGUAGGAGCACCAAACAGAGCUUGCUCUGUUUUCAGACAUUGUUCACUCUGCUUUCUUGAUGCUCCUCAAGUUGCUGUACCCAAGCCAAACUAGCAUACGAAUUAGCGGUCUCAUCCCAGCCAUCAAUCAAAUGCCCAUCGCCCACUUAGCAAGUCUUCCUGUUUGCUACCAACGGGGGCUUCACAUCUACCGUCGGUAUUAUUAUUUCCUCAUUCAAUCUCCUCCGUUAAACAAGUCAAAAUUCCCUUAUAUAUAGCAGCAAAGAAAUGGACGAAUAUUGGUAUCUUUUAUGACGAGAGCUGAUUGUGACAUCCAUCCAUUAUUAUUAUAUUAGCCUGCCGUGGAGCAUGCAUGGACGGACGACGCCACAGUAGACUGAACUGCAACGUCUGUUGAACACAACGUCUGUCUGUUGCAUGAUGAUGCUGAUGAUGGCUCACCCUGUUGAACCGUGGAAGCAAGUUCGGACUGAACUGCAGCAGCAAUUUGCAAGCCCGUUUUGAUCGCGUGUGUUGGCUCAUGCCCAGGCUCAUGCAUGUAUGAGUAUGUUGAACCUCUCGAUGGAUGGUUUUCGGCUUCCCUGUGUCUCGCUCGCACUGCUACCAUCAUCUCGUGACUCAAACAUCAUGUAUGCCUGGCCUUGUUUAGUUCCUAAAAAAUUUUGCAAAAUUUUUCAGUCCGUCACAUCAAAUCUUUAGACGCAUACAUGAAGUAUUAAAUAUAGAUGAAAAUAAAAACUAAUUGCACAGUUUGGUCGAAAUUGAUGAGAUGAAUCUUUUAAGACUAGGUAGUACAUAAUUAGAUAAUAUUUGUCAAAUACAAACGAAAGUGUUGCUAUUCCAAUUUUGUAAAAAAAAUUUGGAACUAAACAAGUCCAACUUUCAUCUACGUUCCAGUGCUAGAUGGCUCACCACACUAACUUGGCAUAAGUUGGCCAUACAUCAUUACAUUAUUUAAUUUACAGAGGAUAGACAUUGACCAAGGCUAGAGCCUCGCAUAGUCAGGGGUCACCUUCAUCCAACAAACACGCUGAGUCAGAUUUGUCGCGAUCAUUUUGGAAUAUAUAAUCCCAAAGCAUCUGAUUCCACUACUAAAGCUGAUGAUUCUUAUAAUAUAUUUUUUAUUAAAAAAUAAAAAAACGCAGGAAGUGGCCUACAUUGAAUGCACAAAAUAUUGUUUCCACACAGUACAAAGAUAGAUUGCACAAUCGUCUUUGUGCCUGCUUGGAUUCCACCACUAAUCGAACGAAGCUGCCUGGCACUUUCCUUCUCACCUUGCACUGUCACCACACGACCCACUCCAACCACCACCUUCUUCCCUGAAUCAUCACCAUUUUCCUUCCCAGCUUCAAGCAGCCAAACGGAAGACACCAACCAGCUACUGCGAUUCUUGCGGACAACUUGACUCCAUGCAUGUUGCUGCUCAACCUUUCAUCACUAACGGGCAUGCCACAAUCCAGCAGUAGCAUCUGGUUGGUCAGGUCGGCGAUGUCCAUGCUGAUUCCUGCCUAGCCAUUGACCAAUAAUACAUCCUGUUGUUGCAACGCCUCUCCGCUUCCGGCCAUUGCUCAGCUCAUCGGACUCAGGUUUGUUUCCUUAACCGUUACGUUUCUGCAGUGGCUUAUGCUUAGCAAGAUCUGCCCAUAUAGCUACUGCCCCCAGUGAUGUAGUUGUUAUGAUUCGGCACAUAAAGUUGUCACUCUCAUAUAGUUAUAUCAAUGAACGAGAGGGGGAGUGAAUGAGAGCCGUAAAUUUUGUCUCAAAAUAUUUUCGGCCACUGUCUCAAAUCACCGCCCAACACAAGCGAGAAUCCCGAAACUAAAUUACUCAAGCGAACCGGUGACAAGAGCACUUAGAUAAAAUUUUUGAAACAAUAGAAAGUUAACACAACAGACGAAACACGAAUUAGAGCUCAAAUGAUUAAACUACGCAUUUUUUAGAUAAAGGAUAGUUUAUAUCCAAACUUCAUCUACCAUAGGGUAGAAUCAGACCAAUUAUUACAAAGUUCGGUCAGACGACCAGUACACUUGAGAUAACUCAAUUUAUGGAAACAAAACGGAAAGAAAGCGUUUGGCUAUGAAAGACCAAGAAACCUAGUUGACAGCCAUCCAUUAGAUCUAAAGAAAUGCAGAGUUGAAGUUUCCAAAAACUGUCCAGCAAGCAGAAGCUGGUCUUUUAGUACCUCACACCGCUACAGUCUUACCCACUAACGAAGCCAAUGGGUUCCUCUAAUACCUGCAAAAAAGUUUUCGGUCUGCAUUUGUCAAAAAACCACUUCAUUUCUUGUUAUCCAAAUUGUCCAAACUAGGGUCAUAGCUGCCAUUAAUAAUAAGGAAUUAAAAGUGUUACUAGUCCUCUUAAGACCAAUUAACAAAAAACAAUCAUUUAUACUAAGAGGAGGUGCAAUUCCAAACAACAGGCGUACCACACGCCACAAGAAUUAGUAUAAAAACAUUCGAAUAAGAGGUGGUGAAUAGUUUUAGGAGAAUCACAGAACACAUAUCUUGUGUCUCUAGCCUAGUUACGUUGGCAAGAUUAUCUUUGGUUAAAACAACACCUCUUUUUAAAUAUAAAAAAAAGACUUUUAUACAAAAGGGAGCCUCGCCUAGUCAAGAUAUAGGGGUCACCUUCAUCCAACAAACAUGCCAAGUCAGAUUUGUCGUGAUCAUUUUGGAAUAAUCCCAAGCAUCUGAUUUCACCACCAAAGGUGAUGAUUCUAUUAAUAUAUUACUUUAUUAAACAAUAAAAAACAGAAAGUGGCUUAAAUGAAAUGAACAAUACUAGGACCUUGUUUAAUUCACAAAAAUUUUUGGAUUUGACUAUUAUAGCAUUUUCGUUUUAUUCAGCAAUUAGUGUUCAAUCAUGGACUAAUUAGACUUAAAAGAUUUAUCUCACAAUUUAUAGAUAAAUUAUACAAUUAGUUAUUUUUUAUCUAUAUUUAAUGUUUUGUAUAUGCGUACAAAGAUUUUUUAUCAAGUGGGCGAUCAAAUUGUUAACAUCCAUCCGUCCCGCCCAACACUAACAUCAGCUUUUGCAGUGCACCAACCGCUAGCCUUUUCGUUUAUUACUAAAUCCAAGUUAUAGGUGCGGAGAGUGUUGCCGAUCGAACUUCCAUGUCAUGGGAUAAAUUGGGGCUCAGUAAUCUAAAAGAAAGUGAGUUGUUUAAUUUCCAACGUAUAGAGGCUCCAAAGAGAAAUUCAUACCAAUACACUUGUGAUUGGAAGAAAAUGAAUUGCCAUUGCCAAUAUACUUGAUUAAUUUGUACUUAAUUAUGUAAUUCGAAAUAAAAUAGCAUGCAUUACAAGACGCAAGAGCCGGUCAGUGGCCGCUGCCAAAUUGUAUUUUGGUUUCUUUAUGAGCGAGUCUUUGCUUGUCGUCUCGUGCAACGAGAACGCUUCCUGCGGUGCCUCCACUCUAGCAUCCAACAAGGCUCCGGUGUGGAAUUUAUAAACUAGGACACAGCAAGCAAGUCGAUCGAAGUUGCCAUGCACUUUCCUUCCCACCUUGCACUGUCACCAAAAGACCUACUCCAACCACCAUCUUCUUCCCUGAAUCAACACUAUUUUCCUUCCCCAGCUCAAGCAGCCAAACAGAAGACACCAACCAGCUACUGCGAUUCUCGCCGGUAAUUUCUUUCCUGCCCACCUUGCAGUGUUAUUCCUACUCUAGCAUCCAUCUCACUGCUCCUCCUUUCUUCAAUCACUGGCGAGCCACAAUCCAGCAGUAGUAUAAGGUGGGUCAGGUCGAAGAUGUCCAUACUGAUACCUGUCUAACCAUAAACCAAGAUUGAGAUCCUAGUCCACGACCAAGAAAGAACAAAGUGGCACUGCCUCACCAAUUCUGGCCAUUGCACAGCUCGUCAACUUGAGGUUUGUUUCCUUAACCGUUACGUUUCUGCAGCUAUAUAGUUGUGCACAUAUAGUGCCCACUGUGUUGUAAUUGUUAUAUGUCUCUGCAGCUGCUUAUGAGUAUCUAGAUCUGUGCAUAUAUAGUUGCCACUGUCAUGUACUUGUAUCAAUAAUGAACGAGAAGUCAGUACUAGUGCCGCGAUGGCUGCAUGUGUAGAUGGAAGAUGAUUGAAAAUAUUUGUUGUAUAAAAUUGAAAUGCAAUGUUGAAAUUAACAUAUGUUCUAAUUUCGUUACAGCAAAAACGGAAGUUCUCAAUCAUGGCCGGUGUCCUAGAUGCUUUGGCAUCCUACAUCCAAAACAUGCUUCUGCAGAUGGCGGCAGAAGAGGUGCAUAUGUUGCUUGGGGUGUCCGGUGAGAUUGACAACAUGGACAUCAAGCUUCGGGAUCUAAAGAACAUCCUUGCUGAUGCUGAUAGGAGGAACAUCACUGACAAAAGUGUCCUAGCAUGGGGGAUAGAGCUAAGGAAUGCUAUGUAUGNNNNNNNNNNNNNNNNNNNNNNNNNNNNNNNNNNNNNNNNNNNNNNNNNNNNNNNNNNNNNNNNNNNNNNNNNNNNNNNNNNNNNNNNNNNNNNNNNNNNACGGAAAGAAAGCGUUUGGCUAUGAAAGACCAAGAAACCUAGUUGACAGCCAUCCAUUAGAUCUAAAGAAAUGCAGAGUUGAAGUUUCCAAAAACUGUCCAGCAAGCAGAAGCUGGUCUUUUAGUACCUCACACCGCUACAGUCUUACCCACUAACGAAGCCAAUGGGUUCCUCUAAUACCUGCAAAAAAGUUUUCGGUCUGCAUUUGUCAAAAAACCACUUCAUUUCUUGUUAUCCAAAUUGUCCAAACUAGGGUCAUAGCUGCCAUUAAUAAUAAGGAAUUAAAAGUGUUACUAGUCCUCUUAAGACCAAUUAACAAAAAACAAUCAUUUAUACUAAGAGGAGGUGCAAUUCCAAACAACAGGCGUACCACACGCCACAAGAAUUAGUAUAAAAACAUUCGAAUAAGAGGUGGUGAAUAGUUUUAGGAGAAUCACAGAACACAUAUCUUGUGUCUCUAGCCUAGUUACGUUGGCAAGAUUAUCUUUGGUUAAAACAACACCUCUUUUUAAAUAUAAAAAAAAGACUUUUAUACAAAAGGGAGCCUCGCCUAGUCAAGAUAUAGGGGUCACCUUCAUCCAACAAACAUGCCAAGUCAGAUUUGUCGUGAUCAUUUUGGAAUAAUCCCAAGCAUCUGAUUUCACCACCAAAGGUGAUGAUUCUAUUAAUAUAUUACUUUAUUAAACAAUAAAAAACAGAAAGUGGCUUAAAUGAAAUGAACAAUACUAGGACCUUGUUUAAUUCACAAAAAUUUUUGGAUUUGACUAUUAUAGCAUUUUCGUUUUAUUCAGCAAUUAGUGUUCAAUCAUGGACUAAUUAGACUUAAAAGAUUUAUCUCACAAUUUAUAGAUAAAUUAUACAAUUAGUUAUUUUUUAUCUAUAUUUAAUGUUUUGUAUAUGCGUACAAAGAUUUUUUAUCAAGUGGGCGAUCAAAUUGUUAACAUCCAUCCGUCCCGCCCAACACUAACAUCAGCUUUUGCAGUGCACCAACCGCUAGCCUUUUCGUUUAUUACUAAAUCCAAGUUAUAGGUGCGGAGAGUGUUGCCGAUCGAACUUCCAUGUCAUGGGAUAAAUUGGGGCUCAGUAAUCUAAAAGAAAGUGAGUUGUUUAAUUUCCAACGUAUAGAGGCUCCAAAGAGAAAUUCAUACCAAUACACUUGUGAUUGGAAGAAAAUGAAUUGCCAUUGCCAAUAUACUUGAUUAAUUUGUACUUAAUUAUGUAAUUCGAAAUAAAAUAGCAUGCAUUACAAGACGCAAGAGCCGGUCAGUAGCCGCUGCCAAAUUGUAUUUUGGUUUCUUUAUGAGCGAGUCUUUGCUUGUCGUCUCGUGCAACGAGAACGCUUCCUGCGGUGCCUCCACUCUAGCAUCCAACAAGGCUCCGGUGUGGAAUUUAUAAACUAGGACACAGCAAGCAAGUCGAUCGAAGUUGCCAUGCACUUUCCUUCCCACCUUGCACUGUCACCAAAAGACCUACUCCAACCACCAUCUUCUUCCCUGAAUCAACACUAUUUUCCUUCCCCAGCUCAAGCAGCCAAACAGAAGACACCAACCAGCUACUGCGAUUCUCGCCGGUAAUUUCUUUCCUGCCCACCUUGCAGUGUUAUUCCUACUCUAGCAUCCAUCUCACUGCUCCUCCUUUCUUCAAUCACUGGCGAGCCACAAUCCAGCAGUAGUAUAAGGUGGGUCAGGUCGAAGAUGUCCAUACUGAUACCUGUCUAACCAUAAACCAAGAUUGAGAUCCUAGUCCACGACCAAGAAAGAACAAAGUGGCACUGCCUCACCAAUUCUGGCCAUUGCACAGCUCGUCAACUUGAGGUUUGUUUCCUUAACCGUUACGUUUCUGCAGCUAUAUAGUUGUGCACAUAUAGUGCCCACUGUGUUGUAAUUGUUAUAUGUCUCUGCAGCUGCUUAUGAGUAUCUAGAUCUGUGCAUAUAUAGUUGCCACUGUCAUGUACUUGUAUCAAUAAUGAACGAGAAGUCAGUACUAGUGCCGCGAUGGCUGCAUGUGUAGAUGGAAGAUGAUUGAAAAUAUUUGUUGUAUAAAAUUGAAAUGCAAUGUUGAAAUUAACAUAUGUUCUAAUUUCGUUACAGCAAAAACGGAAGUUCUCAAUCAUGGCCGGUGUCCUAGAUGCUUUGGCAUCCUACAUCCAAAACAUGCUUCUGCAGAUGGCGGCAGAAGAGGUGCAUAUGUUGCUUGGGGUGUCCGGUGAGAUUGACAACAUGGACAUCAAGCUUCGGGAUCUAAAGAACAUCCUUGCUGAUGCUGAUAGGAGGAACAUCACUGACAAAAGUGUCCUAGCAUGGGGGAUAGAGCUAAGGAAUGCUAUGUAUGAUGCCACUGAUAUCCUCGACCUUUGCAAGCUCAAGGCUAUGGAGCAAGGCCAAAGGCAUGAUGCCGGAUGCUUCAACCCGUUGCUCUUCUGCAUACGGAAUCCCCUACAUGCCCACGAUAUUGGAAGCCGCAUCAAGAACCUUAACAAGAGGCUAGACGACAUCAAGGCACGUGGUGCAUCAUUCAACUUCCUGAACCUUAGUACUUAUGAGGAUCGUGGAAGAAAUGUGAUAUCAUAUGGUUCUAGUACCCGUGAGACAUCGGGGGGCCUUGUUGAGUCUGGUUUGGUUGGUGAGAAGAUUGAAGAGGACACAAUAAAUCUUGUGGAGAUGCUAACAAAGAAGUAUCCUACCGACGACAACAAAUCCAACAAAAUAAUGGUUUUCUCUAUUGUGGGAGCUGGUGGGAUUGGUAAAACCACCCUUGCUCAAAAGAUCUUCAACAAUGAAGUCAUAAAGGAUGAGUUCAAAAAGAAAAUAUGGUUGAGUGUCAACCAAGGCUUUGAUGAUACUGAAAUGUUAAGAAGAGUUAUUAUCGAAGCUCGUGGAAACCACCAUGAUUGUGGAAAUGCAAAGGUGUCACUAGAACACACUCUAAUAGAAGCUUUGAAGGGACAAAAAACCUUAUUAAUAAUGGAUGAUGUCUGGGACAGCCGUAUAUGGGAAGGCGUGCUUAGAACUCCCUUUGUUAAUGCCAUGCUAGCUGAAGGUAGCCGUGUGCUGGUCACCACAAGGCAUGACACAGUGGCACGUCAGAUGAAGGCGGAGGAGCCCUACUAUCGUAUUGACAGACUUGGGCUUGAAGAUGCAUGGAUGCUGCUCAAGAAGCAGGUACAAGUUAAUCCAUACAUUUAUUACUUUUCAUUAAUCAUGCAUUAUGUUUUCUAGCUGCAUCACUUUAGUUUUGCUUCUAUCUUAGUAGUGGGAACUAGAUUCCCUGUCUUGGCAGCAACUUCUAUUUUUCUUCUUUGUUUCAACCAUGUAGUUCUGUGGUGGUGACCUUCGAAAUAUAAGAUAAAGAAACAAAAUGACAUACUUCCUUGCGUUAGCAUUGUAUUAUCUUGCAUAUGCAGUCAUGUAGACUCCACAUAGUGCAGGUAUUCACUUUUUUUGUUAAAGCAAUUCAAAAUUGGACAUUGUAUUACACUCCCUCCUUUUUUUAAAAAGAACUUGAGAUCUGUAGGUUCGAUUGGAUCUGUAAUUGGCUGUAAUGUAGGCAAUAUGAAAUGGCGAAUUAGUAACUAAUUUAAAUUCACAAACUAAGGAAACCAUAAUAAGUAUGUUUAUCACUAUUCUUUUUAGAGUAAAAUAAAAAAAAGGUCUUUGAAGUUAUUCUGUAUGAUGUUGUCCGAUCCUCAAACUCUCAAAAUGCUUGCAUUGUGAGGUUAGAGAAAUUGUCCUUGUAUGGAAUGUAAGUCCCAAGCCCUUAUAAUGGUACUUUCAUCCACAGGACUUGUCACGUGUUGUCAUCUAGUCUAGUUCUUAAUGAGCCCUAACACACUAUACACCCUUAUGUGGCAUGUCACAAUUGAUCCAUUUGUGGUUCAGUAUUGAUGAGUAGUCUAACGCGAGGUUAUGUAUAUCACACAUAUUGGGCUGUUGCACUAUAUCCGAGCGAAGAGAGAGAGAGGGGGAACUCAGGAUGGUGGUCCAAAGGCCAACAUAUAUGUGUGGUGCCCAUAUAUAGAAUCGACUAGUACAGAUAUUAUGAGACAUAUAGGUAGCAUUUGGUUGGGAGAUAAGGUGGGAUGGAAGAAUGAUCUUGUCUCCGGUUUGAGGGAUGCAGUGACCCUAUUUUCUUUUUGGUUGGAAAGCGAUGGGACCAAUUUGUUUUCUAUUUGGUCUUAGAUAUAAUAACUCAAAUCUUGUGGGUCCCAUUUGGCAGUUUUAAUUCUCUUUUUCUUCCUCCUCUCCUUACCUUGUUCACGAACUGUGGCCACCCAAAGGACUCGCAAGUGCGACGCCCUCUGCCUCCUCCCGUUGAGUCGGCCAUGGCUUAUGCCACCUGCUUCAUGUGUAGCCACCCAAAGGACUCGCGCACGGUGGCUCCUAAAAGGUUGCACGACGGCAGCCUCUGAGCUCACGCGUGGAGGCUCCUCUUAUCUCGGCACAGUGGUGGCCCCCCAAGGUCAUGCAAGGCGGCAAUCUCCCGAGCUCGCGCGAUGGUGGCCCCCUGUGCUCGUCUUCAUUGACCUCCCCUAUGUGCACCUCCUCUUGUCUUCUUCCUCACCAGUGAGUGGGCUUGUCCCACCUCAGGCGACCCCUUGUUCGUCAAAUUUCUGCACAAGCACGCAUGUGAGCAACUGUCGUGGUCGUGUAGCCACCAUGCUUGCGCAGCCAAAUAGAAUUGGGAUACUUAAAUGUUUAAGUAUCUAAAUGUAUAGUUUUACAUUUAGUGAUCUGAUAGAAGAUGCAGUAGUUUAGAGACUAUGGGUGCAAUUUGCUCUAUGACAAUGGUUGGAAUCGCCUCCCAUCGCCUCCGCUAAAAACUUUUUUCCUUUUUUUUUUAAUUUGUGGAAGGGUAAUAACAUCAUUGUACAAGGUUCUCUUAAACCCCAACCCCUAUUAUCGGCAGCGACGGCUCCCUGUAACACGCAUUGGUGGACGCAGACAGGUGGAACUCAUAGAAGAUUUAAAAAAACUUAAGAAGAAGAUUUUUAUCUAACUAGCUAUAGUACUUGAAUCAAACAUCCUAUCUAUCUUACUCAAAAUAUUACUUUUACAAUUAUGAAUUUACCCUUUUACCCUUCAUUAAAAAAGAAAUACAAAAGGAGAAAUUACCGCUCCUCUAUUUAGGGUCUUAAUUCCUAUAAUUUUGGAGGCGAUGGGAGGCAAUGUGACAUCUAUGGCCCACCGACCAUAGACACACCUAUUACCUCCCAUCACCUUGCUUCUAUCGCUUUGCUUCUCAUCGCCUCUCCAACCAUUGUAAAAAUAUUAAUUAUAGUAUUACUGGACGUACAUGUAUGUGGAGAAGGCAUUGCUUAUGAAUUGUGUACAACAGUAUUUAAAAUUGAUUUUUCAACGUGAAGCUGGUGGAAGCGUGAUAUAUAGCAAAGAAUCCACAUACCAACGCUAAACUCAUGGUGGCAACUAAUGUACAUGCUUUGUAAACUGCAAUUGCCCACUGGGUGAAAUCUAAGGAAGAGUGGGCCAAGAAACUAAGAUUAGACCUAGUACCACUUAGAAUAUUAAUUAUUUUAUAACAAAAUUUGAAACUAAACCAACCGCAUUUGUUGGGAGUAGACUAUACAGCUUUCAACCGUUUAUUUGUAUUGGAAUGCACGACGAUAUUACAUGCUGAGUUAUUAGUGUAGUUACUGGCACAGUAGCGUAUAUAUGGAUGUGUGUCACUUUGUAAUGGAAACAAUUAUUUCUAAUAUUUUUGCUUGGCCAUACGUACGUUCGUGCGCACCUUGUAGUGAGCAUUCUUCCUCAAUGUUGAGUUUUGUUUGCACGAGCACUGUAGCUUUAUUACACAGAAUUUCUAUCGACUAGUGCAUCAACCCAUGUUCUGGCAUGGGCUUGAAUUUUAUGAGAUAUAAGUAUUAAGUAUUGUUCUGGUCAUUUCAAAUUAUAAACCAUUUUGGCUAUUAAAGAUAUAUUAUUUUUCAUUGUACCUGACAGUAUAUCUAAGUGUAUAGAAAAAACUAUAUACUUUCGAAACAUGUUAUAAUUUGAAAUGCGCGGAGUAGAUCUGAAUAAUAAUGAAAUAGUCAUAAAU
rnacentral:lncRNA from 1 species